rnacentral:rRNA from 1 species
UACGUAGGGUGCAAGCGUUAUCCGGAAUUAUUGGGCGUAAAGAGCUCGUAGGCGGUUUGUCGCGUCUGCUGUGAAAAUCCGGGGCUCAACCCCGGACUUGCAGUGGGUACGGGCAGACUAGAGUGUGGUAGGGGAGACUGGAAUUCCUGGUGUAGCGGUGGAAUGCGCAGAUAUCAGGAGGAACACCGAUGGCGAAGGCAGGUCUCUGGGCCACUACUGACGCUGAGAAGCGAAAGCAUGGGGAGCGAACAGG